rnacentral:rRNA from 1 species
GCUCAGUAACACGUGGAUAACCUGCCCUUGGGUCUGGGAUAACCCCGGGAAACUGGGGAUAAUACCGGAUAACCNCAUAUAUGCUGGAAUGCUUUAUGCGUAAAAUGGAUUCGUCUGCCCAAGGAUGGGUCUGCGGCCUAUCAGGUAGUAGUGGGUGUAAUGUACCUACUAGCCUACAACGGGUACGGGUCGUGAGAGCAAGAGCCCGGAGAUGGAUUCUGAGACAUGAAUCCAGGCCCUACGGGG